UAUAUAAAUUGUAACAAUGUUAAAUCAUCCAAUAAGGCAUUAGUAAAAAGUAUAAGUAAAUAAAUAACUAAAUUUUAAGGAAAUUUUAGGCUAGGUAUCUAACACUGGAACGAAAUUAGAGAAAAUACAUAAAAGGGGAGAUUUAGGUAUUAAUGAACUAGACGAAGCGUGCAAAGAACAUGACAUAGCGUAUCAUCAAAACAAAGAUUUAAAGGACAACAUGUUCACAUUCCUCACUCGCAUCUAUGGGUGUAAAAGCUGCAGCUCUAGGUGUAGCAGCCGCUGUCAAAUUUGGAAUGGGAUGUAAAUCUAAAAGCAAGCAUUCUAAAAGGAGUAAAUUUUAGAGAAAUAGUAAAAAAACCAAAAAGAUUACGCAUGGUGCAGUAACGACAGUUAUGAAAGCAGAAAAGUCGCUAAAAGAAGUUUUCAGCCACUUUUGAAUGUCCGGGAUAAGGCUGUGAGUCCAGCGCCCCUUUGAGGAUUCAUCCCAUUUUUGUUGCCGCUCAUGCAUGAGAUUUCUAUUCCAGUGCAUUUUAAGCUGACCUUCAAAUCUUGCGGUUCUUUCAGUCAUUAUAUGAUCUAUUGGGGAUAUACCAGCGAUCACUUCGGACGCAUCUAGUGAGGAUGUUCGGAAGUCACAAAAUGCCGUUCAUUGCCCGCAAAUACGGACGAAAUGAAUCCUUUUCAGUAUAUUAUGCGCCUAAAAUAACGGCCACGGAGAUUCAAAGGGAAGUCACUACGUGCAACAGACAUACAAAGAUUACAUUAGGGAUUGCCAUGCGAGCGCCAACGAUCUACGCCUGAACUAAAAUUGAUAAUGCAGGGAUAAAUGGUCGACCUUGGGACCCCAUUAGAAAUUUUUGCAGAAACAUUGCAAAGGCCCUCACCCAGCGAUAACUUUGUUGAAACUUUGUUGAUCCAUCCAGGCAAAGCCGUUGCAGAGACUCAAGGGCCUUGAUUCUCAGCUAGCCGGCGAGACAACCAACCAACUGGUACCAGAGCUCCUGAUCUUCGCAAACAACCUUUGUAGCACAGGGUUCAAUUUGAUUUUGUAAUAAGUGCAAAUAGGUUUCUGCCGUGAGGUUAUAGUCUAUAACAAAUAGUCCAAUAAUUUGAGGAUAGUAGGUUCCAAUCUUUGGUCCAAUAAAGACAGUUUUGAACAUUGUUGGUUUUUUCAUCAUAUCAAAAAAAAUCCUCUUCUUUCUUUAUAGCCUU